GCAAACUUGGUCAUUUAGAGGAAGUAAAAGUCGUAACAAGGUUUCCGUAGGUGAACCUGCGGAAGGAUCAUUAACACUUUUAUUCGAAAAAGGGUUGCAAAACCCUUUUUUAUUCUACCCAACUUAUUGAAGUGCUGGUGAGAAAAGCAAUUUUCUCCAAUUUUUUUUCUUUCUUUCUUUCAAUAACCCCAUUCACAACAAAACAAUUCGACUAAACUAAAACAUAUUUAUAAACAAAAUAAGCCAAACAACUCUUAGCAACGGAUAUCUUGGCUCUCGCAUCGAUGAAGAACGCAGC
rnacentral:misc_RNA from 1 species